AUCAAACCUUUUCUUUUCCUAAAUAGUUCUAAUGAAUAAAGGCAACUGAUGUUAUAUGUAAAAACAAGUUCAUUUUUCUGAUAAUAAAGCUGUCAGCUGAGUGCAGAUUUCUGUCCCAUCUCUCCAUUUUGUGGCUGGUCUCAGUCCUGUGAUCCAGCUCUGGCUGGAUCUCUCUGAAGUCUAUUCAUGGCAUUUCCUGCUUUCUUGUGGAUCCUCUGCAGUCUUUGUCCAAGUUUGAUUUCAUUCUGUGGAUUGAAAUGUAUGAUCCAGGUAUAUGCCGCUGAAAAACUGUCUUUAAAGUUAUAUU
rnacentral:lncRNA from 1 species